UGAACGCUGGCGGUAUGCUUAACACAUGCAAGUCGAACGGAAACGAUACUAGCUUGCUAGUAGGCGUCGAGUGGCGGACGGGUGAGUAACGCGUAGGAAUCUGCCUGAUAGUGGGGGAUAGCCCGAAGAAAUUCGGAUUAAUACCGCAUAAUCUAUUCGUAGUAAAGUGGGGGACUUUCGAGCCUCACGCUAUCAGAUGAGCCUGCGUAAGAUUAGCUUGUUGGUAGGGUAAAAGCCUACCAAGGCAACGAUCUUUAGCUGGUCUGAGAGGAUGAUCAGCCACAUCGGGACUGAGACACGGCCCGAACUCCUACGGGAGGCAGCAGUGGGGAAUAUUGGACAAUGGGGGCAACCCUGAUCCAGCAAUACCGCGUGUGUGAAGAAGGCCCGAGGGUUGUAAAGCACUUUCAAUUGUGAAGAAAAGUUAACGGUUAAUAACCGUUAGCCUUGACGUUAACUUUAGAAGGAGCACCGGCUAACUCCGUGCCAGCAGCCGCGGUAAUACGGAGGGUGCAAGCGUUAAUCGGAAUUACUGGGCGUAAAGCGUGCGUAGGCGGUUUAUUAAGUCAGAUGUGAAAGCCCCGGGGCUUAACCUGGGAACUGCAUUUGAAACUGGUCAACUAGAGUAUGGUAGAGGAAAGUGGAAUUUCUGGUGUAGCGGUGAAAUGCGUAGAUAUCAGAAGGAACAUCAAUGGCGAAAGGCAGCUUUCUGGACCAAUACUGACGCUGAGGUACGAAAGCGUGGGUAGCAAACAGGAUUAGAUACCCUGGUAGUCCACGCCGUAAACGAUGAUAACUAGCCGUUGGGGGGAUUUACCCUUUAGUGGCGAAGCUAACGCGUUAAGUUAUCCGCCUGGGGAGUACGGCCGCAAGGUUAAAACUCAAAGGAAUUGACGGGGACCCGCACAAGCGGUGGAGCAUGUGGUUUAAUUCGAUGCAACGCGAAGAACCUUACCUGGUCUUGACAUCCUGCGAACUUUCUAGAAAUAGAUUGGUGCCUUCGGGAACGCAGUGACAGGUGCUGCAUGGCUGUCGUCAGCUCGUGUCGUGAGAUGUUGGGUUAAGUCCCGUAACGAGCGCAACCCCUAUCCUUAUUUGCCAGCACGUCAUGGUGGGAACUAUAAGGAGACUGCCGGUGAUAAACCGGAGGAAGGCGGGGACGACGUCAAGUCAUCAUGGCCCUUACGACCAGGGCUACACACGUGCUACAAUGGGAAGGACAAAGAGCCGCGAAGCCGCGAGGUGUAGCUAAUCUCAGAAAUCUUUUCGUAGUCCGGAUUGGAGUCUGCAACUCGACUCCAUGAAGUCGGAAUCGCUAGUAAUCGUAGAUCAGAAUGCUACGGUGAAUACGUUCCCGGGUCUUGUACACACCGCCCG
rnacentral:rRNA from 1 species